AAGCAUAGUGCUUAGUGUUGCUCCCUUAGAAAUUCUUCCCUCAAAGCAUCCUGGGGGUCAGCUCAGCCUCAAGUCACUUUGGGACCUCAGGGACAGAUUUUGGGGGGUGGUAAGAAAUGGCAACCAGGUUGGGUGUAGGAUGACCCCUGAGAAAAGCAGUCAGAAGUCCAGAAUAUUAUAUCCCAAAGCACUGGAAAUCAGGCUGACUUCACUGUUUUUGUUCCUGGACUAUGGUCAGGUAAGUAGGGAUUGGUGGAAAGGGUUCUUGCAGCAAGAAUACUGAAAAUUAAAUGAAUUAUGGCUUUGUGGAUCUAUAUAGAUAGAACUCCAAUUGGAGAUCCAGGUGAGGGGUCUGCCAUAAACCAAGGUAUCUGACAAACAGGCAAGGCCCUAGGCGAGACUCUGGACUCAGCAGGGAAAACCAGAGCCUGAAGCAGGUACACCAGGCUGAAAUCAAACCGACAAGGAGAACACAAUAGGGCAGUAAAGGAAAGCUUGACUCAGUUUGUGCAUGGGUUCCCAUGCCUCAUCCCUGGGACUAGGUAGAGUAGGGCUCCUCAAACUCAGCGCUGUGAACAGCUGGGGCUGGACAGUACUCUGUUGGUGGGGGGUUACCCUCUGCAUUGUAGGGUAUUUAAUGACAUUCCUCACCUUUACCCACUAGGUGCUAUUAAUUAAUAUUCCCUCAGCUGUGACAACCAUAGAUGUCUCCAGACAUUGACAAAUAUCUCUGGGUGGAAAAAGUUGCCCUAAUUGGAAACCAUUAGUUGACAGCAAAAGACUAAUUCCUGUCAGCACUGACUGGUGGGACCACUUUCUUGAUCAGAAUUGGUUCAGGAAUAGGCACAGUUGAAUCUGUCAAUUAAGGCUCUCUGGAUCUGCAGACAAGCAGGGCUAGUACUUGACAGAAACUGUCCAAAGACCUUUAGCACUAAAAUGAGAAAAACCAUUAAGUGUUGGAGAGGAGAAGGCUAUCAUUGUGUUUGGAGUUAAGAAGAGGGUGGAGAAGGAAGAUGAAGAUGUCAGGGUGAAGUUAGGUCUAUAAGUCUGAGCCAAGUUGAGAGCUUAUGGUAGAGGCCACGCCUGCUCCAUUGGGCUUGUCUAGACCAAGACCUAUUAUUCAGAACCCCCAGUCCUUGCCAUUUGGUGCACUUUGGUAUCCAAAUCCUACAUUUUGAUAGAGCACUGAGCAAAGGCCUAGGUGGAUCUUUGAUGAUGAAGUCCGUGCUUGUCACUCCAACUUGAUGAUCCACUCUCUUCCAUAUGGCUGUCUGGUUCAUUAUGAGAAGGCUUACAGGAGGCUACAAUGGCAACUUUCCAGCAAUAUGAAUGCUUUGAAGGCUCAGAUGAACUCUGUUAAGAGAAGAAUGCCCAGCAAGGUCCAGGAUAAUGUUUAUGCUGAAUCUUGUCCAAGUUUCUCUUCCUGGGAAAGAUAUUAGCUGACUCUGGAGCUAAGUCUAAGUUGAGGCCAGUGAGACCUGUCCUGUAGCUUCAUCCCCAUAACAAUGGUUGAUACUGGCUUUAUUCAUGGCUUCCUAUCUACUGUUUCCAGAGAUGAUCUUUCACAGUCUUCAAUAAGCCUUCAACUCUCAGGAAUUUUACCAUUUCUAAAUUCAGGAUUUCUGCUAUUUCCUGUGGUUAUAUUGGCCCUAUAAACAGCACAUCUUUCUUUUCAGUGAAGAAAUUAAAUGUCACAUAGUCUGCUCUGAGAAAAGAGCCAAGUUCAGGGCAGAGACUACCUUCCUGGGUACCCCCCAAGAAGGAGUCUUGAUCACUUCUCUAAACAUGCCCUGGAUGUUCCCAGAGCUCAUGAAAACGCUGCUCUCCAGUGGUGCUAGCAGCUCUGAUGAAGGCUAAGUCCAAGCUCUGAAUUCAGGAGAGCAGAGCUGCCUCCUGCUCCCACCACCGUGGUUCUCAGGCAGUAAUGAAAAAUCUUCAUGGAGUGGCAAAAGUUGUUUACCUGAAGCUCACAAGAUGUAUCCAGAAAAUAUCACCAGGGAUCAGAUCAAGCCUGACCCCCAUUUUACAUCUUCUGUAACCAGAAGCACUCCAAGAACAACACUUUCAUUCAUGGACUUAACAACUACAUUAGAUCAUACCAGCCUGUCACUUCAAAGUCACCAGUGUCAAG
ensembl:lncRNA novel transcript